GCAGGGUGUGGUGAUGCCUAUCUAUAAUCCCUGUUACCGAGGGAGGCAGCAGCUGGUGAGUCACUUGAAUUCCAGAGUUCUAAGAUGCAUACCUGAUGGAGUAUCUGCAUAAGUCAGGCAGAAAUAUGGUAAGGCCCUGGGAGUGGAGGACCACCAGGCUACCUAAGGAGAGAUGAACUGAUUCAGGUUGAAAACAGAGCAGGUGAAAACUUCCAUGCCUAUAGGUAUUGGGACUGGGUUUGUGAGUAGCUAAUGUACUUCUGGCCUGGGUGAGAUAGGAAGAUUCAGUCUCA
rnacentral:SRP_RNA from 1 species